CUGCUAUCGGAUGAUACUAAGCCAUGCGAGUCUUUGUAGUAAUACAAGGCAGACGGCUCAGUAACACGUAGUCAACCUACCCUAUGGACAAGAAUAAUCUCGGGAAACUGGGCAUAAUUCUUGAUAGAUCAUAAUGCCUGGAAUGGUUUAUGGUUAAAAUGAUUCGUCGCCAUAGGAUGGGACUGCGGCCUAUCAGCUUGUUGGUGAGGUAAUGGCCCACCAAGGCGAUUACAGGUACGGGCUCUGAGAGGAGAAGCCCGGAGAUGGGUACUGAGACACGGACCCAGGCCCUAUGGGGCGCAGCAGGCGAGAAAACUUUGCAAUGUGCGAAAGCACGACAAGGUUAAUCCGAGUGAUUCCCGCUAAAGAAAUCUUUUGCCAGUCAUAAAACCACUGGUGAAUAAGGGGUGGGCAAGUUCUGGUGUCAGCCGCCGCGGUAAAACCAGCACCUCAAGUGGUCAGGAUGAUUAUUGGGCCUAAAGCAUCCGUAGCCGGCUUUGUUAGUUUUCGGUUAAAUCCAUGUGCUCAACGCAUGGGCUGCCGAAAAUACUGCAUAGCUAGGGAGUGGGAGAGGUAGACGGUACUCAGUAGGAAGGGGUAAAAUCCUUUGAUCUAUUGAUGACCACCUGUGGCGAAGGCGGUCUACCAGAACACGUUCGACGGUGAGGGAUGAAAGCUGGGGGAGCAAACCGGAUUAGAUACCCGGGUAGUCCCAGCUGUAAACGAUGCAGACUCGAUGAUGCAUUGGCAUAAUAGCCAGUGCAGUGUCGCAGGGAAGCCGUUAAGUCUGCCGCCUGGGAAGUACGUACGCAAGUAUGAAACUUAAAGGAAUUGGCGGGGGAGCACCACAAGGGGUGAAGCCUGCGGUUCAAU
rnacentral:rRNA from 1 species